GCAGUAACAUGCACUGGAGGACCGAACCCACGCAUGUUGAAAAAUGCGGGGAUGACCUGUGACUAGGGGUGAAAGGCCAAUCAAGCCGGGAGAUAGCUGGUUCUCCGCGAAAACUAUUUAGGUAGUGCCUCGGAUGAAUACCAACGGGGGUAGAGCACUGGAUGGAUGCGGGGGGCGCGAGCCUUACCAAUUCUAACCAAACUCCGAAUACCGUUGAGUAAUAUCCGGGAGACAGACUGCGGGUGCUAAGGUCCGUAGUCGAGAGGGAAACAGCCCUGACCACCAGCUAAGGUCCCUAAAUCUUGUCUAAGUGGGAAAGCAUGUGAGACGGCCAUAACAACCAGGAUGUUGGCUUAGAAGCAGCCAUCAUUUAAAGAAAGCGUAAUAGCUCACUGAUCGAGUCGUCCUGCGCGGAAGAUGUAACGGGGCUAAGCCAGUUACCGAAGCUGCGGAUGCAUCGCAAGAUGCGUGGUAGGAGAGCGUUCUGUAAGCCUGUGAAGGUGGGUUGUGAAGCCUGCUGGAGGUAUCAGAAGUGCGAAUGCUGACAUGAGUAACGACAAUGCGGGUGAAAAACCCGCACGCCGGAAGACCAAGGGUUCCUGCGCAACGCUAAUCGGCGCAGGGUGAGUCGGCCCCUAAGGCGAGGCCGAAAGGCGUAGUCGAUGGGAAAUCGGUUAAUAUUCCGAUACUUGUUUAUGAUGCGAUGGAGGGACGGAGAAGGUUAGGCAGGCCCGGCGUUGGUUGUCCGGGU
rnacentral:rRNA from 1 species